AGAUGGGAAAUGGGGACAGAGGGAAGGUCGCUGAGUUGGGUGGAAAGUUUGUCUGGAGAACUCCCACGGCUCAGGCCUCCCCUCCCCCUCCUCCUCUCCGCUGCCGGGCAAGGAGGAGAAGGCUGGUUAGCAGAGAAAUGGCAACUCAGCCGGGAGCUGGAACUAGAAACUUUCUGUCAAUGUAACAGCCGCGUGGGUGGCGACCCAAUGGUGGUUGGGCUCCGGGUCACGUGACGACUUCUUUGUACCUCCGGAAGAGAACUGUGAAGUUUAGGUUGCUUGGAAGAAGCAGUAAACGGCCAGAUUUUGUUAUGGUUGUUGUUGUUGUGUAAGGGGUGGCCAGGAAGUUGUGGCCAAAGGAGCAAGAAGACAGAAGGUCAAUGAGAAAAACUGAGAAGCAAGAGAAUUGGAAGGGGGUAAAAAAAAUCAAGAUUUGGAGGAAUUAACCACAGAGAUGGAAGGCCAGGGGAAGGGAAAGGAGCUGCAGGCCUGGCCUUCCCAGAAAGUGUGGCUAUCACCUCCUGGCCUUCUCCGUCAGACCUCCGGGCUGCCCUCCUGGAGCCCCGCGGCCUCGCGCCCCUUCUGGCUCUCAUCCACCCCAUGGCCUCGACCCUCCGCCCUCCCUCUCCCAUCACAGGUGUGUUAAUUUGGGCGCUUCUUGGAUUCUACCCUGAGGAGGAGGCGCAUGGUGAGAGGAGAGGUCUGUGUAGAUCUUGAUCUGCCGCUCGCUGAGGUUCAGCAGGUUGGCCAUCUCCACGCGGCGCGGCCGGCACAGGUAGCGGUUGAAGUGGAACUCCUUCUCCAGCUCCACCAGCUGCGCGCUCGUGUACGCCGUCCGCG